rnacentral:rRNA from 1 species
UUAAAUUUUUGAAGUUAUGUUAGCUUUUUUGUUGGGUGAAAUCAGUAUAAAGAGUUUCUCUUUCUUUUAAAAUUAAUAGGAAUUAAAAAACUUUGAUUUAAAACCAGGAUUAGAUACCCUGUUAUUCUAAGUUAUAUUUAGACAGGGUAGUAAAAGCUGUUCUUCAAACCCAAAGAUUUUGGCGGCACUUUAUCCAAAUAGAGGAGCUUGUCCCUUAAUCGAUAGUCCCCGUUUUAUCUUUCCUCUGUUUGUAGAGCUUGUAUACCGCCGUUGUCAGAUUACUUUUAGAGAAUGUUUUCAAGUUAAAAGACUUUUUUACUUCAGGUCAAGGUGCAGUUUAUAUAGAGGUGGAGGUGAGCUACAAUUUUCUUUAGAAAUACGGAUUUCAAGCCUUGAAGCUGGUUGAAGGUGGAUUUUUUAGUAAAGUAA